rnacentral:lncRNA from 1 species
CUUUGGUCUUUGAUGUUGGUGACCUUCAGAUGGGGUUUCUGUGUGGAUGUCCUUUUUGUUGAUGUUGAUACUACUCCUUUCUGUUUGUUAGUUUUCCUUCUAACAGUCAGGCCCCUCUGCUGCAGGUCUGCUGGAGUUUGUUGGAGUUCCACUCCAGACCCUGUUUGCCUGGGUAUCACCAGCAGAGGCUGCAGAACAGCAAAGAUUGCUGCCUUUUCCUUCCUCUGGGAAGCUUCGUCCCAGAGGGGCACCUGCCAGAUGCCAGCCGGAGCUCUUGUAUAUGAGGUGAAAAGCAAUCACGGAGUUAAAAGAAGACAAGCUGAAAUGAUGCAGGCUGCUCCUAUGUUGGAAAUUUGUUCAUUAAAAUUCUCCCAAUAAAGCUUUAC